GGCGGGGUGGCUCAGUGGUAGAGCGAGGGUCUCAUAAUCCCUAGGCCGUGGGUUCGAUUCCCACCCCCGCUACCC
rnacentral:tRNA from 1 species